GACGAACGCUGGCGGCGUGCUUAACACAUGCAAGUCGAACGAAAAGAGGGAAAGAGCUUGCUCUUUCCGGAAUUGAGUGGCAAACGGGUGAGUAACACGUAAACAACCUGCCUUCAGGAUGGGGACAACAGACGGAAACGACUGCUAAUACCGAAUAAGUUCCAAGGGCCGCAUGGCCCAUGGAAGAAAAGGUGGCCUCUACCUGUAAGCUAUCGCCUGAAGAGGGGUUUGCGUCUGAUUAGCUGGUUGGAGGGGUAACGGCCCACCAAGGCGACGAUCAGUAGCCGGUCUGAGAGGAUGAACGGCCACACUGGAACUGAGACACGGUCCAGACUCCUACGGGAGGCAGCAGUGGGGAAUCUUCCGAAAUGGGCGAAAGCCUGACGGAGCAACGCCGCGUGAGUGAUGACGGCCUUCGGGUUGUAAAACUCUGUGAUCCGGGACGAAAAGGCAGAGUGCGAAGAACAAACUGCAUUGACGGUACCGGAAAAGCAAGCCACGGCUAACUACGUG
rnacentral:rRNA from 1 species